ensembl:lncRNA SCAT1 S-phase cancer associated transcript 1
ACUUCCUGUUGUGUGGCCCAGACAGGGCACUGUCUGUGGCCCCAGGGGUUGAGGACCCCUGGCUUUAACAACAGAAAGACCCCAGUUACUGGAUUGGGAUCCACCCUCACUCAAUAUGGCCUCAGCUUAAUGAAAGACAUCUGCAGAGACCCUAUUUCUACUAAAAGCCACAUUCUGAGACUUCUCGUGGGCGUGAGUUUUUGAGAGACACUGUUCUGCUCCAUGCAGGGAGGGAAUUGGGAUCUGAAGACGUUGCAUUCGAGGUCUCGGGGCUCCUGAUGAGCAGCCUCGGCCUGACCUGGGGCAGGUGUGAUGUCUGCGGCUCACCAUCUCCACCCUGCCUGCUGUGGAAUCUCCACAACGACAGGUGCUUUGGAGGCCAGAGUGCAUGCGUACGGGCCCUGCACACGCUGAAUGUCACUGGGAACAAGGACACACCCCGCUUCCAGGAGAAGAUAGAACAUGUCGACCCCUUUUCCAGACAAUGCACAAAAUAGGCCAUCUGGGCCAUCUGGGGCGAACAUCCAGCCUGGAGGCCCUCGAACAAGCCCACUGAGGGCCUCCAGUUGGGGGCACACAUGGGUGACACCUGGCCUAGUGACGCCCCACCUGGGUUGCACGUUAAAGUCACUGGGGAACUUUUAAAGGGCUGAUGUCUGAUUUCUCCAGGGAUUCCGAGACCAUAUGACACAUUAUCAGACCAAACCAGAGCUCUUGGUUUUCGGAUCUGGGGAUGAAUUCUUUAGCACAGAUGGAACCAUGAACUUCUAUGAUCAACUGCCAGGAAGGAAAUACCUCAGAGCCAUCCCCAGUGCAGGACAUGCUAUUGACUUCCAUGAGACAAACACCUACUUGGAAAUCAGGUUUUUUCUGUACCUUUUGAAGGAGCAGGAAUUUCCCAGCAUUUCCUGGACAAAGACGGAGGCCACAUUCGCUGCAUCCUUUCCAGCAAGAUGUCAUUCUGAGAUUUUUGUCAUUCCUGGGCGUUAUGAGGACUGCCAAGGGACACAAUUCCAUGGGAGGAAAGUUUUCUUCUAAGCUGCAAGCCAGCUCUGGCUUCUGGAGUUUCUCCUUAGGAUUGCAAGACAGUAGUUCCCUGUCCUUUAGGUCUUCUCCAGAAAUACCUUAAAAUAGCAAAUAAAAUAAGAUAUAAG